AAUCUUGUGGUCUAUGGUAAUUUGUAGAACUUUUUUUGUUUUUAAUCAGGUAAUUUCUGAAACUUAAACAGAGUAUUUAGUGCUUAACUAGAUGAAAAAUAUGUUGAUGAUUGAUAAAAUAGCCAACAAACAACCGCAAAUCAAUUAAUUUACAGAGAAAAUCUCAAUUGAAUUUGCAAUAGACAAUGCUGAUGACGAACAACGACAAAGGAACGGCGACUGCUGCGACGAGGAACGUAGAAGAAAGGCGGCAAAUAUACCACUCGUUGGAGAUGGGAGGAGAAAAAACACAUACUCCAUUAGCGGAUGAAAUGAAAUUGCAGGGAGGUGGUGAACGGUGGUGAUUUGCUUUGGGAAAGUUUUGGUUGUUUCAUGAAGGCUGGAGAGAGAAACCAAAUACUCCAUUAAUAUUUUGACACCUCAUUCGUGAAAGUUUCGCUAUUUCUUUUUUCGCUAGAAGUAGCAUUUUCC
rnacentral:lncRNA from 1 species